UACGGAGGGGGGCUAGCGUUGUUCGGAAUUACUGGGCGUAAAGCGCGCGUAGGCGGACCUGCAAGUCGGGGGUGAAAGCCCGAGGCUCAACCUCGGAACUGCCUUCGAUACUGCGGGUCUCGAGUCCGGGAGAGGUGAGUGGAACUGCGAGUGUAGAGGUGAAAAUUCGUAGAUAUUCGCAAGAACACCAGUGGCGAAGGCGGCUC
rnacentral:rRNA from 1 species